AGGAGCUCAAAUUUUCUUCCAAAAAUGUGGAUCACUGUGGUGCACUGGUUGUGGCAGGGAAAUUGUGAAAAUGGAACCAAUUUCCCCCGCAGUUCCUCAGCCUAGGUGGGAAAAAGAUACAAAGUGGAUUGAUCCGUUGACAAUGUUUCAGAAGAUGGCACUGAGUUAUACAGGAUAAGGAAGAAGAAGAUUUUUUGUCAUGGUGGAGAAAGCCACUGUAAAUAUGCAAAAACUGGACUGCCUGUAUGCACCGAAAGGAUCUUGAGCUGUGUACAAGUGACAGGUGACUA